GGUAACGUGGCCGAGCGGUUGAGGCGCCACGUUGGGGUUAACCCUUAAUACAAUCUCAUGAUUCCGUGGUCCGAAAGGGCGUGAGUUCGAAGCUCACCGUUAUCA